rnacentral:rRNA from 1 species
AGUGAACGCUGGCGCUAGGCCUAACACAUGCAAGUCGAACGGCAGCACAGUAAGAGCUUGCUCUUACGGGUGGCGAGUGGCGGACGGGUGAGGAAUACAUCGGAAUCUACUUUUUCGUGGGGGAUAACGUAGGGAAACUUACGCUAAUACCGCAUACGACCUACGGGUGAAAGCAGGGGAUCUUCGGACCUUGCGCGAUUGAAUGAGCCGAUGUCGGAUUAGCUAGUUGGCGGGGUAAAGGCCCACCAAGGCGACGAUCCGUAGCUGGUCUGAGAGGAUGAUCAGCCACACUGGAACUGAGACACGGUCCAGACUCCUACGGGAGGCAGCAGUGGGGAGUAUUGGACAAUGGGCGCAAGCCUGAUCCAGCCAUACCGCGUGGGUGAAGAAGGCCUUCGGGUUGUAAAGCCCUUUUGUUGGGAAAGAAAAGCAGCAGGUUAAUACCCCGCUGUUCUGACGGUACCCAAAGAAUAAGCACCGGCUAACUUCGUG